ACAACAUUUGGACCAUCGGUCAAUAUUACGCGCAAUAUUACCCGGUCGGUGGAAGAUCUUCCCUUUGUCGU
rnacentral:pre_miRNA from 1 species